rnacentral:lncRNA from 12 species
AGGACUUUCAGGCCACGCGGGCCCUGUGGCGGAGGCUGGAUGAAGCUGCAGAGCCCGGCAAGGAAAUGAGGGAGGGGGCUCAGCUGGAGCAGAGCCCAGCUGCAUUUCCCCAAGCUGUGUGAGCGGCUGGGGGCCUUCGCAUCCCCAUGGCUGCUUCCAAGACGGCGGCAGGGCCCCGGCCGAGCUGUGGGCGCCCUGGGGGGGGAAGCCAUGAUCUUACCAGAGGUUUCCCU